rnacentral:rRNA from 1 species
UACGUAGGGCGCAAGCGUUGUCCGGAAUUAUUGGGCGUAAAGAGCUCGUAGGCGGUUUGUCGCGUCUGCCGUGAAAGUCCGGGGCUCAACUCCGGAUCUGCGGUGGGUACGGGCAGACUAGAGUGAUGUAGGGGAGACUGGAAUUCCUGGUGUAGCGGUGAAAUGCGCAGAUAUCAGGAGGAAAACCGAUGGCGAAGGCAGGUCUCUGGGCAUUAACUGACGCUGAGGAGCGAAAGCAUGGGGAGCAAACAGG